UAGGUACUCUAGGGCCAACAGGUGGGAUGCAGAUUGUUCUGUAUGGCUCCACAUGCCACUAUAAUCAAUGGACUGUGAUUUGCCCAGCACGGGGCCUGACACGUUAGGCCUAGAGUGACUAUGUUUGGACUGAUUUGAUCCAGCUUGACACAUAUAUUCAGUUAUAAAAUAGUGGAAGGUUCCUUAAAUUAUAUUUGGGAUUCUUUUGGAGAAGUCGGAACGCCAGGAACCCAAUAUAAAACUCAAGAACCUUAUAGAUGUGGUAUAGACAGCUCUCUUACUUGGGAACUUAGUUUUCAUGGCCCACAUGACAAGCUGGCAAAUGGGAGAAGUGAGGGACAUUUUGCUGAAGGAGUCGAAUGAGCUGCCAUCAUGAAGCAUAGUGCCUUGGCCCAAUUCCAAGCCACUCAGUAUAAUGUUUCUAUCCAGAGCCCACAGUAAUGAGAGGAGAUGUCAAAACCACCUAUUCAUGGUGAUGCUGCAUUACUCGAGUUCUCAACGUCUCCUCUGGCAUUUCAAGUACUCCAGAGACGAAAGUGAUGGGUUGUGGGUAGCUUAAGCUAACCAAUAGGGAAUGCUAAUAGCAAUUAUGGGAAAUCAUUACCAUCUUUGGCCUGAUGGAACAAUGAAGGCAUUUUUACUGGAACCAUGGGAAAGGUGUGGCUGCAAGAAAGGGACACUCAACAAAACAGAUGUGAUUAAGGCAAAGAUCUCAAGGUGAGAUCAUCCCCAAUUAGGAUGGGCCACAAAUCCAAUGGCCAGUGUCCUUAUAAGAGACGAAAAGAGAGAAGACACAGAGACAUGCAGAAGGCCACAUGGGUGAGGAGGCAGAGAUCAGCAUUGUGCUUCCACAAGCCCAGGAACAGCUGGCAUCACCAAAUCGGGAAGGGAAAGGAAAGAUCAUCCCCUGGAGGAUGGCCAUGCCAACAGCACAUUGAUUUUGGACUUGUAGCCUCCAGAACUUCGAGAAAACGGAUUUCUGUUGUUUUAAUCCAUCCAUUUUGUGGUCCUUCGUUAUAGCAGCCCUAGGAAACUAAUGAAACCCCUUCCAUGGUAAGCCUGUCUUGGGGAAGCAGUAUCAAGUUUACGGCUGUACAUGCGGAUUUUGGUCUCAGGCAGACCUGUAUAGUGAACUCACCUUAGUAAAGAAUAAUUGUAAUUUGGGGCUAGAUUUCUGAUUUCUCUGAGCCCCAGUUUUUUCAUCUGUAAAAGGAGUCAUAAUAUUGACCCUAUGGGAUUGAGGGGUAAAUCAUGGGAAUCCCUGGAUGAUGUAUAAGACAAUAAAGACAACCGAUGGUAUUAUUAUUCUUCUAAAACCCUUACCCCCUGUCAAAAUUAAGUACCUCCUUUUUCUGUGUUCCCUUAAGCAACUUUUACAAACUCCCAUUAUGG